rfam:Triticum aestivum genome assembly, contig: Triticum_aestivum_CS42_TGACv1_scaffold_508650_6BL
GCGCUCUUAGUUUAGUUUGGUAGAACGUGUGUCUCCAAAACCCAAUGUCGUAGGUUCAAAUGCUACAGAGCGUG